rnacentral:rRNA from 1 species
UACGGGGGGAGCAAGCGUUGUUCGGAUUUACUGGGCGUAAAGGGCGCGUAGGCGGUCAGCACAAGUCAGUUGUGAAAUCUCCGGGCUUAACUCGGAAAGGUCAACUGAUACUGUGCGACUAGAGUGCGGAAGGGGCAACUGGAAUUCUCGGUGUAGCGGUGAAAUGCGUAGAUAUCGAGAGGAACACCUGCGGCGAAGGCGGGUUGCUGGGCCGACACUGACGCUGAUACGCGAAAGCCAGGGGAGCGAACGGG